GCAGUCGCCGCGGUAAUGCGAAGGGGGCUAGCGUUGUUCGGAUUUACUGGGCGUAAAGGGCGCGUAGGCGGACUGAUAAGUCAGGGGUGAAAUCCCAAGGCUCAACCUUGGAACUGCCUUUGAUACUGUUUGUCUUGAGUUCGAGAGAGGUAAGUGGAACUGCGAGUGUAGAGGUGAAAUUCGUAGAUAUUCGCAAGAACACCAGUGGCGAAGGCGGCUUACUGGCUCGAAACUGACGCUGAGGCGCGAAAGCGUGGGGAGCAAACAGGAUUAGAUACCCGUGUAGUCCCUGUCUCUUAUAC
rnacentral:rRNA from 1 species